GCCGGGUUGGUGGAAUGGCAGACACGGCGCUCUCAAAAAGCGCUGCCCACAGGGCGUGCGGGUUCGACUCCCGCACCCGGCACCA
rnacentral:tRNA from 2 species